rnacentral:hammerhead_ribozyme from 1 species
GCAUUGUUGAAGAGUUCUAUACAAGAAUGAAACAUCUGUCCAGUGCGAUUUGAUUUUCAAUGAUUUCUCACAAUAGGACGAAACGGCCGUCCAGUGC